AGAGCCACCCGCCUGAGAGCACGGGUAAAACGAAGAGGGGAAAUUCACAUUCUUCCAUGCAGAUUCAUGUAACGACAACAACAACGUGCCUCUGUCCCGGUCCCCUCUCCAUCCCCUCCACCCCUCCUGCCUUGAAUGGGGCCCUUGCACCUCAGCCACGGAGAGAGCCGCAGCGUCUACCCCGGCAGGUGGGUCAGCCUAUAUCCCGUGCAGGACAGCAAAUGGACCCGUGCAGAAUGUAAGAGUGGCGCUCUGCCUAGGAAAAUUCGCCUCGGUUUCCAAGGAUCCGAUUAGAGCUUCCGAGCAACGGGCCGCUGGUCCUGCUGCGCGUGUACAUGAGGCCCGCGUGCGGAGUGUAAUGGAAAGAGCAGGAGGGAGAGGAUCCCGGGGGAGGCAGAGAGACGAGAGACGCCCGGAGAAACAGUACAGGAAAGCGGAGACGUGCAUCGCUGGCCGUGGAGGAAGGUGUAGUGAAACACAUUUCAUCAUCCACAGUGGUGUGAAUACAGAUGUCCAGUGGAAUGCCAUUGCUGCAAGCAUGGGGAACGACUGGGGAGUUUUUCAAAGAAAUUCUGAUGGAUUCAGAUUAACCUUUGGUUAUCUCUGUACAUCAUGCUAAACACCACAUACAAUAUGUAUUGCUUUAAUUUCCUAGAUGUGACCUUCUCCAGUCAUGGUCAUUAUUACGUGGUGAGCGCGUGAUGACUCUCUUUCAGACAAAAAGGAUUGCCAAAUCAUUUCCUACUCUCAUUCAUAAAAUAUGUUAUGGAAAAAGUGAACGUUGCAAAAUGCCACUUGUCCGUUGACCUUUCAGUAAGGAAGUGCUACUCCUGUGUUUCAAUGUAGGUGGUAUAGAAAGCAACCUCAUGAGCAAAUAAAUGAAUAAAAAAAAUAUUAUCUGAA